rnacentral:sRNA from 1 species
AUUGAAAAUGUAUAUUACACUUUAUUUGAAUAUAGUAUCAAAACUUAUAUAACACAGAGAUUUGAUAAUUUUUUAAUUGAUGAAUACUUUUUUUGUGCUAAUUUUUAUGUGAUUAAGAUUUAAUUGAUUUCGUAUAUAAAAUAUUAAAUUGACUUAUUUGUUUAUAAUUUGGUAACAGAUAGAUAUUUGAAUAUUCAAUAUAUUUUGCUUCAGUUUAAAAAAUCUUUGAUGAUCCGUCUUUAGAUCCAAUAAGCCCUAUAAUCUAGAUAUUAACCUGCAGUAUAUAUUUUAGUUAAACUAAAAUUUUUUUAUUGUAAAGAUGAUUUAAAAAUAUUUGAUAUUAUUUUAUUUGAUUUUAAAUAUAUAGUAAACUGUGAGUUGUAUAUGUUUUGUUGAUAUUAUCUAUAUUGUUUAGUGUUUAAGAUUAUACACUUGUAGUUUGUUUGUUAAUUUAAGAGUUUCACCUGUAGUAUACCAUUUUGUAUCAAUAUCGAUCUAAACAUGCAAUUCUAGGAUUUUCAACUUGUAUCAAAAAUUGAAUCACAUCUAAUAUGUUAUUAAUUAUUGUAGUAUAUAAGAUUAUAAAUUUUCAAUAUAAUAUGUAUGAAAUUGAAUAUAAAUAUUUCAAAUUAUGACUCGUUACUCAGUAGAAAGUUUUCUUAAAUCUAGUUUUUACCCGUUAUAAUAUUUUUGUAUGUAUUGAACAGUUUAUAUUUGUUUUUAAAAAUUCAAAUUAUGGCAUAUGGGAAAAAACUCUAAUUAUUUUUUUAUAAUGAUGAUAUUAUUUUUCCGCAAAAAUAGAAUCAUAUAAAGAUGAGAAGUGAACUAUAAUAAUUAAUAAAAAAAUUAAUAUGAUAAUUUAGAUAUCAAAUAUAAUUUGUUGAUUUUAAUUGGUUAAUUUUUUGGAAAUUAAUAAUGUAUUUCGUUUUUCUAAUUAAAUUAAAUUAAUUAAAAUUUAGAUAUCAAAUCUUAUAUGUUGAUUUUGAUUGGUUAUUAUUUUUGGAAAUUAAUAAUGUAUUUCGUUUUUUAAUUAAAUUUAAUUAAUUAAAAUUAGUAUUUGACUUUUUAAUCCUUAAAA